ACAAAAUCAUCUGCAAAACCAGAUUUCUAACACCUCCCUGCUGUGUAUCUCAUUUCUGCUGAUGUGUGGUGCUUCAUAAGAUGGGGACGUUAAGCAUGCAGCAACUACAGUCAUUUGUUCUCAGAGGAGGGCAUUUCCACUCUGAAUUUCCAGUUCCAAACAUUUCAGUUUUCCACCAAGACAUCAUUCCUGGGUUUGGGAUUCCUGAAUUUUCUCCACACAGAGGUGACUGCUUUCAGUGGAAAACUUAGCGAAAUUGCAUUGUUCUCCCUGAAGUAUCUGUGUAACCAAAACAAUGUUACUGCUAUAUGACAUGUUGUAGGCAUUCUCAAUACAUUUGGAAAAUGCAAAAGUAACUGUGAUCUAACAUCUCAAACUGGCUAUGGAUUUAUUUUCCUGUGGUCAGGUCUGGACCAAAGAGAAACAAGAAAAGCUGGAGUCACACUACCAAAGGCCGAAGCUGAGCAACAGAGCUCUGGAGUCAGCUGCCUGGGUUCAGCAUGCAGCGCUGCCGUGGACGAUCUGUCUCUCUUGCAUAUAUGACUUACCAGUUUUACUUUCAGUCUCUCCAUUUCUAAUUAAAUGAGAUGCAGAAAUGCUGGUGCCUUGCUAUGAUGUUUGCAGUUAUUAUUUCUAGGAAAAAAAAUAUUAUUGUUACUCAGUAUCUGGUACAUCAAAACUAAGCCAGAAACGUUUAAAAAGAACAAAAGUAUCAUUUCUACUUAAUUCUCUAGCUACUUGGACAACUGGACUAUGCCCCUCCUUUCAAGGGAGGGCAAAGCAUUUCAGAAAAGAACUAAGUGCUAUUUCUCUGCUUCAGGAAUGUCUCCCGUAUGUAAAAGAAUGUGGCUUCAGGGAGUAGCAUGUGUUGUAAAGGUGGAUGGGUCUAACUUCAUGGACAGCUCUGACAUCCACUAGCUAUGCCACCUGAUGCAAACCACUUGGGCUGUCUGUAGUUUCGUUUAUCUUUCUGGAAUUGGUAAUAACAACCACCUGGCAAGAUCACUGUUAUGAAUACGGAGGAUCAAAGUUGUGAAGUUAUUUUGUAAAGUGAAAUGUUCUGAAAAUUGGAUUUUAACAGUGUCAGCGAAAAGUAGAUUUUUGACAUUUAUCAAGAGUUCAGCUAAUGAAAACAAGUAUGGAUAAUAGUUACAUAGAACUGUCUACUUUACUCAGUACUUUAGCAUAUGCUAUUAUAUUUAAUCUUCUUAAAAAGUAGAAAAUUAUACAAGCCAUGUAUUACUAUUA
rnacentral:lncRNA from 1 species